GUACACGCUGUGACUAGCAUAUCAAUAAGCGGAGGAAAAGAAACUAACAAGGAUUCCCCUAGUAACGGCGAGUGAAGCGGGAAGAGCUCAAAUUUGAAAUCUUAAAGGGUUUCCCUUUACGAAUUGUAGUUUAAAGGAAGUGUUUUCUGUUGAGGUUUUGGUAAAAGUUCUUUGGAAUAGGACAUCAUAGAGGGUGAGAAUCCCGUAUUUGACCUUUACUUUCAACUUUGUGAUACACUUUCAAAGAGUCGGAUUGUUUGGGAAUGCAGUCCAAAAUGGGUGGUAAAUUUCAUCUAAAGCUAAAUAUUGGCGAGAGACCGAUAGCGAACAAGUACCGUGAGGGAAAGAUGAAAAGAACUUUGAAAAGAGAGUUAAACAGUACGUGAAAUUGUCAAAAGGGAAGCGUUUGACACCAGUGUUGUUUUUCUGAAAAUCAAUUAAAGAACUGUUUAUGCUAAGUUGUUUAGACUUUAUCAGCUAACUGUUUAGUUUUGAGCUUUUCUUUAAUGCACUUUUCAGUUAACAAGUCAACAUCAAUUUCUUUUGCUGUAAAAAAGCUUGAGGAAGGUGGCUUGAGAUUCGUCUUAAGUGUUUAUAGCCUCUUGCCUAUGCAGUCGGAGAGAUUGAGGUCUGCAGCGUAGAUCCUUCGGGGCUAAAUGCAUUUGUGCUAAGUUAUAGCAUUUUAUAGACAACUUGUUGACUAUGAUUUGUCUUGUAGCUUACUCGCUUAUGUUAUUUUACCUACGCUUAGGAUGUUGAAGAUGUAGCACAUCAU
rnacentral:rRNA from 1 species